rnacentral:rRNA from 1 species
GACGAGCCGUGCGAACGUUGUUCGGAAUUACUGGGCGUAAAGGGCGCGUAGGCGGCCUGGCAAGUCAGGAGUGAAAGGCCUGGGCUCAACCGAGGAACUGCUUUUGAUACUGCCAAGCUAGAGUGCGGAAGGGGCAACUGGAAUUCCCAGUGUAGCGGUGAAAUGCGUAGAUAUUGGGAAGAACACCUGAGGCGAAGGCGGGUUGCUGGGCCGACACUGACGCUGAGGCGCGAAAGCGUGGGGAGCAAACAGG